GUGCAACCAACAUUCUCUGCUUCGGUUCGCCUCUUCAGCUUUCGGGUUAGUACUGUUACAGUUCUGUCAACUCUCAACUCUCAUUGUUUAGCUACUCCUUUAGAUAUCAUAACACUCCUUUUGAAGCACACAACUGUAUAAAAUGUGCACUUGAGUUGUAAAAUUGAGGUUAUUAAUUUGCUCAAUCAUAGAUUAAAUAUAUAGAGCUGAGUAUGUUAGUGCUAGGUGGUUGAAUUCUGAUUUAUGUGGUAAAUUUGGGACCUAUUGCACCCUAAGUGAGAAUCAUACCACUAGUUCAUACCUAUUUCAUGCAUCUCCAUUCUUCAUUUUGGGUCUCAUCUUUUCCCCAUUUUUACUUUGUCUCAUUAGAAGUUCAAAAAUGAGUGGAGCGAGGGCAGUGGCGAAGUCAGGAAUUUAUUCAAGGGUGUUCAAACUAUAUUCUCCGAGAAAGAGUGUUCAAUAUAUAUUAAAUACCUCUAAAAUCGACUAUUUUACCUAUAUAUACAGUGUAAUUUAGCUUCGCCCAUGAGCGAGGGGCUUUAGAGGGGAAAAUAUAGGGUCAAAUAUGAGGUUCUGAAAGGUAGGCAUUCCUCACAUCAAAAUAUUGGGCACCUAAAAGUGUGGCAUUCCGAGAACUGUACUUGGGACCUCUCACACCCUAAGCGAGAAUCAUAACACUGACGAAAUUCCCUAUUCUUGCGUUUUGUUCUCUUCCCUCUGUAAUUUCUCUUUGCUUAUGUGUUCUUUAGAUUGCUUAUUUUAUCUAUGAUUUAUUGGUAUAUGCAUUAAAUAAUCUGCAAGGUGAGAAGUUCUUGGAGGGAAGGAUGGUGAGGGUCUAUUUGGAAACAGCCUCUCUACCCUGGGGUAAGGCUAAGGUCUGCAUACACACUAUCCUCCCCAGACUCCACUAAGUGAGAUUAUAUUGGGUUGUUGUUGUUGUCUCUGAUUUGAAAAUACAUCCUUGCAUAAGUUAGAUGUCGAACAGUCUGUUCACUUCUGUUGAAACGCUGCAUUUGCCUAGCUCAAAAUAAAAAGAAUUAAAAGGGAAAAAGGUAAAAGUAAUAAAAAAUUAAAAAAACUAAAUUCGACAGAUUUAUCCAUGUUUUUGUUAGUGUUAUAGUUGACUCUGGAUCAGAUCUCUGUUACUAUUAAAGUGACUUCUCUUAACCCCUCUAGAAUUGCAUGAAGAUAAAGGUAUGUGCUUAGUUCAAACAUACAACGUCUGUUUUGAUUCUUCAUUUAGAAGUUUAAUAGAGCAAUCGGUAGGAAUUCUUUCAGAUAAAAAAUGUCUUACCUCUGCACUCGUUUCAUAAGGGGGAGUCAGAUUUAAGGUUAAAUUUUUAAAAGGAACAAAAAGUGAUUGAUUAAUGGUGCACUCAAUCAAAACAAGAUGGGAGAUUUUGUCAGAUUUUAAGGCUAGUUUUAUUUCGAAAGAAAUUUGGAAUAAUUGAGAUGUGUAUUCAAUCAAAAAAGAUGGGGCACUCCGAGAAUCAACCUCGGGACCUCUCGCAAACAAAGCGAGAAUCAUACCACUAGACCAAAUGCCCAAUUCUUGAAGAAUAUGUUUUGACUUUUGACUCAUGAUCAAUGCGCUUUUCCAGUGAUUAGCAAUGACUCAAUUAUAAAUGACGUGCUUCAUUGCAAAUAUAUAACCUUUCAGCUUCUUAUUUCAUACCUGUUGAUCUGCAUUUCCUUACUGAGAAAUAUUUUUGAGAACUUAUGCUGACACCCUUAUAAUUUUGCACCAUUCCUUCUGAUGUUCGCCUUUUCUAAAGAGCUAUCAGCUUUUAUUAUUUCUGGUGCAUAAUAUUUACCGUCCUUUUAAAUCAUACUCAAUCCUUUCGGACAUGUCACAAGGAACUAUAACUAUGGAUAGCUUAAUGCUUCAUGUUUUAACUCCAUCAUUUGUGUUGAAGUCACAAUUUAAGUAGAUGAUACCAAGUUUAGGAAUGAUAUAGAGGAAAACUUGGGCUUUCCCUUUUGUUUUCUCUUAUACUGUGAUUAUUUUUGACACCUUCUUGAUUGAUCUAGUAUGUUUACUUCUUGUUUGUGUUUUAUUCUGCUGCUCAUUGUAUGUAAGUUUCGUCACAAAGCAACUUGAACCUUGUGAUGUUCAUGAUUCAUCGCUCAAGUAAACAAUAAUUAUAUGAUUCAUCAGCUAGGGAUAGCAAUCUUCCUCCUGAUUGGAGCAGGAAAAUCAAUGAGCUCUUGCCUUAAACAGCAACAUACUACCAGAGAAAUGCUUGGUUUUUGGUAACGCCUGCCAUUGAUCAAUGAUUUAAGCUAGCAAUAUUGUUAAAGAAAUGCUUGGUUUUUGGUAACGCCAGACAUUGAUCAAUAAUUUAAGCUAGCAAUAUUGUUGACAUCCAUGAUCCAUGAAAAUGAACCUUGUUGAUGAAUCAUUGUUGAAGGACAGAUACAUUAGCUAAUUGUCACUUCUCAUUUUGCCUUCUUUGUCAAAUAAACCAAGGCAAAGCUGUUAAGCAAAAACCUUGAUAAU
rnacentral:lncRNA from 1 species